UGUAAGCGUAUACCAAAGUUGUUGCAGUUAAAACGCUCGUAGUCGGACUUUGGCAGUUCCGGAUGUGUGCACGUCGUGUGCGCACUUCGCGGGGAUUGCUUUUGUGGUCUUGCGUAGGAUGAGGCACUUUUAUUAGUGAACGUCCUCACGCAACCACUUUUUACCGUGAGAAAAUCAGAGUGCUCAAAGCAGGCAUUUGCCGUGAAUGUAUUAGCAUGGAAUAAUAGAAUAGGACUUGGUUCUAUUUUGUUGGUUUGUUGGGACUGAGUAAUGAUUAAGAGGGACAGUUGGGGGCAUUUGUAUUUCGGUGCUAGAGGUGAAAUUCUUAGAUUACCGAAAGACAAACUGCUGCGAAAGCGUCUGCCAAGGAUGUUUUCAUUGA
rnacentral:rRNA from 1 species